rnacentral:rRNA from 1 species
ACAACAGGGAUUGCCUCAGUAACGGCGAGUGAAGCGGCAACAGCUCAAAUUUGAAAUCUGGCUCCUUCGGGGCCCGAGUUGUAAUUUGCAGAGGAUGCGUCGGGUACGGGUGCCUUCCGAGUUCCCUGGAACGGGACGCCAUAGAGGGUGAGAGCCCCGUCUGGUAGGAUACCCAGCCCGUGUGACGCUCCCUCGACGAGUCGAGUAGUUUGGGAAUGCUGCUCUAACGGGAGGUAUACUCCUUCCAAGGCUAAAUACCGGCUGGAGACCGAUAGCGCACAAGUAGAGUGAUCGAAAGAUGAAAAGCACUUUGAAAAGAGAGUCAAACAGCACGUGAAAUUGUUAAAAGGGAAGCGCUCGCUACCAGACUUGGGUUCGGCGGUUCAACCGGGGCCACGCCCCGGGGCAUUCCGCCGGCCCAGGCCAGCAUCAGCUUUCCGUCGGGGGUAAAGGCGUCGGGAAUGUGGCUCCCCUUCGGGGGAGUGUUAUAGCCCGUCGUGUCAUACCCUUCGGGGGGCUGAGGUACGCGCUUCUGCAAGGAUGCUGGCGUAAUGGUAGCUAGUGACCCGUCUUGAAACACGGACCAAGGAGUCAACCUUAUGUGCGAGUGCCCGGGCGUAAAACCCCAGCGCGGAAUGAAAGUGAACGUAGGUGAGAGCUUCGGCGCAUCACCGACCGAUCCUGAUGUCCUCGGACGGAUUUGAGUGAGAGCAUAUAGGGUUGGACCCGAAAGAAGAUGAACUAUGCGUGUGUAGGGUGAAGCCAGAGGAAACUCUGGUGGAGGCUCGCAGCGGUUCUGACGUGCAAAUCGAUCGUCAAACAUGCGCAUGGGGGGCGAAAGACUAAUCGAAUCUUCUGGUAGCUGGUUUCCGCAG